UUUAGGUGUCUUUUGGCAAACUCCAAGCAGCUGUCAUGUGGCUUUCGUCUGGCCACUUCCAGUCUAGAGCAUUGGGCCCGUAACUGAAAGGUUGCUAGAUUGAAUCCCCAAGCUGACAAGGUAAAAAUCUGUUGUUCUGCCCCUGAACAAGGCAGUUCAGUUCCACUGUUCCUAGGUAGGCCGUCAUUGUAAGUAAGAAUUUGUUCUUAACUGACUUGCCUAGUUAAAAAAAUAAUAAUAAUACAUCUCUAGAAUAGCCCUAGCCUACCAUCUGUGGAGAAUAGAUGAUAGGUAACACUAGAAUAGCAUUAGCCUACCAUCUGUGGAGAAUAGAUGAUAGAUAACACUAGAAUAGCAUUAGCCUACCAUCUGUGGAGAAUAGAUGAUAGAUAACACUAGAAUAGCAUUAGCCUACCAUCUGUGGAGAAUAGAUGAUAGAUAACACUAGAAUAGCAUUAGCCUACCAUCUGUGGAGAAUAGAUGAUAGAUAACACUAGAAUAGCAUUAGUCUACCAUCUGUGGAGAAUAGAUGAUAGGUAACACUAGAAUAGCAUUAGCCUACCAUCUGUGGAGAAUAGAUGAUAGGUAACACUAGAAUAGCAUUAGCCUACCAUCUGUGGAGAAUAGAUGAUAGAUAACACUAGAAUAGCAUUAGUCUACCAUCUGUGGAGAAUAGAUGAUAGGUAACACUAGAAUAGCAUUAGUCUACCAUCUGUGGAGAAUAGAUGAUAGAUAACACUAGAAUAGCAUUAGCCUACCAUCUGUGGAGAAUAGAUGAUAGAUAACACUAGAAUAGCAUUAGCCUACCAUCUGUGGAGAAUAGAUGAUAGAUAACACUAGAAUAGCAUUAGUCUACCAUCUGUGGAGAAUAGAUGAUAGAUAACACUAGAAUAGCAUUAGUCUACCAUCUGUGGAGAAUAGAUGAUAGAUAACACUAGAAUAGCAUUAGUCUACCAUCUGUGGAGAAUAGAUGAUAGAUAACACUAGAAUAGCAUUAGUCUACCAUCUGUGGAGAAUAGAUGAUAGGUAACACUAGAAUAGCAUUAGUCUACCAUCUGUGGAGAAUAGAUAAUAGAUAACACUAGAAUAGCAUUAGUCUACCAUCUGUGGAGAAUAGAUGAUAGGUAACAGGUCACACUAGAAUAGCAUUAGCCUACCAUCUGUGGAGAAUAGAUGAUAGGUAACACUAGAAUAGCAUUAGUCUACCAUCUGAGGAAUACAUUUAGAAUAGAUAGCUCACUGCAUUUCAAAAUGUUAGUAAGCGAAAACAUAGAAAUUCUUCUUCUUCUUUUUUUUUUAAUCAACCUGCCUCACACUAGAUUUAGGGGUCAAUUAUUUAUAAUCUAGGGUAUAAAGAUAAAACACUUUGCUAGGGGUGAAAACAGUUCAUUUGGUGUUCAACAAAGAGGAGGAGAUAUCUAAAGAGUCACCUGCAUUGCUUGCUGUUUGGGGUUUUAGGCUGGGUUUCUGUACAGCACUUUGAGACAUCAGCUGAUGUACGAAGGGCUAGCCACCGUGCUUCUACACCUGCAUUGCUUGCUGUUUGGGGUUUUAGGCUGGGUUUCUGUACAGCACUUUGAGACAUCAGCUGAUGUACGAAGGGCUAGCCACCGUGCUUCUACACCUGCAUUGCUUGCUGUUUGGGGUUUUAGGCUGGGUUUCUGUACAGCACUUUGAGAUAUCAGCUGACGGCUUCAUAAAUACAUUUGAUUGAUUGAUUGAUUGAUUGAUUGAUUGAUUGAUUGAUUGAUGUCACCGUCAAAUAUCAAACAAAUAUUUAUGUGAAGUGUGAAUGUAACUCAAAAAAACGUUUGUCCCACUUGAAGACAACAGGAUGUCGUUCU